rnacentral:rRNA from 1 species
AUGAAAUGGAACGCGAUGGUUGUGGUACUUGGCGUCCAGGGGCUUCAUGGGUUAUUCAUGUACUUGGUGUUUGGUGCGGUACUUGUCGAGCAAGAUUCGAAGUCAUGGUUCGAUGGUCUUAGCCGCAAAGGUGGUUGCAGCCACGGAAGGCUGUCGGAGAGGAAGCAGGGGCACAAGGAGGGCCAUGGCUGGCACGGGUCUGCUGGACAUGCAACUUUGGCUGAGGACGAUGGCAGAGGAAAGCUUGGGGUCUGCCCUGGCGUCAACUUGGCCAGGGAUAUGGCGGAGGUUGGCGCCUGUGGUCGUCGAACAUCGCGGACGAUGCCAGAACGAGGCAUGAGGAGGAGCAACGGGGAUGCAGGCGAGGCUUGA